CGAUUCUGCUUUCUCACGAUCCGCAAUCGGAUGUCUGGAGUGAGUUGCCUACAAUGCCGACGGCACGUCUGCGCGCUUCGGCAUGUGUUGGACCGGACGGAUGGAUCUAUGUCAUCGGUGGAAGCAAGACGAAUUAUGGGGAAUUCCUUGGUUCGGUGGAGGCCUUCAAUCCAGUGACCAGAGAGUGAAUGAAAAAAUGUGGUGUGGGCCAUCCUCGACGUUCGGCCGGGACUUGCUGUGUCGGAGGUAAAAUCUACGUGCUGGUUGGCUGGGGUGGUGUUUGCCACCGACUGUGUGAAGUGUACGAUGUGGCGUCGGACACAUGGAC